rnacentral:lncRNA from 1 species
UGGUCCCUUCGUUUCCCCUGCCACACUUGUAACCCAACAAUCCCUUGUGCGUCCCUUCGUUCCUCCCUCUCAUAGUUUCCCUGCCUUUUAAAAAAGCUAUCUGUCUCUCAAACCAUAAACUUCUAUUCAAGAUCCUACUCUCUUCAGAAAAACCCCAGCUGGCCAGCUCCCAACAUCACAGCCACCAUCUUCGCCACCACCAUUCCCGGUAUGCACAUUAAUCUGGCACCACCAGACACCAUUAAAACCACCGUCUGCUGCUGCCGUGAACACCUAUGACCAACCUCAACUACCGUCUUUCUCUCAACCACUUGCUUUUAUGUAUCUCUGUUAGACCCUAAAUUUACAAAUCGCCGCUGCCACCGUUGCGUUCACUACCAUUGUUUGCACCUUCUUUAUAAAAGAAACAAUAAAUCCCUCCGGAGCUCUCUGACAAACCACCGCCGUCCCGACGCCUCUCCCAGUUCAUCAUACGAUCGCCCCCUACAUUUGUCUCUCUCUAAACAGCUGCCACUGAUCUGUCUCACCGUCGAUUCCUUGCCUCUUCACUGCCAUAUGCUGGAAGGGAAAUGAGAUUGAACAACGAUUUGGGUUUUUUUCUUGCUUUGUGUCUGUGAUUUGUAGUUAUUAUUAAUAAAUCAAUAAUUUUAACAGUUCUUUCUUUCUAAACCGUAGACGUGAUUAUCUUUCUUAACAUUGUGUUGAUAGCAAUUUUGUAUGAGAGGUAGGGCUGCUAUAUAUGUAUGAACUAGUUUGUGUUAGAUAUGUCAAACUUAAUCCUUUGGAAGAUUAUUCUGCUACAAUCCAAUGUAUUUGGUUUGAUAGGCACUCCAAGAUAUGUCGAGGGUGUUAUAUAAUUGGCGAAUUCAUUUGAUCCAUGCAUUGAUUAUAGAAUGAGAAUAAACUAUUCCCUUUAGUCUUUUAAGUAAAAAAGUUUUAAUUAACCAGAGUUUUAAGCAAAGACAGAUGUCAAAAUAUUUAAUAGUGGAGCAUGUUAGUUGCUAUGAUUUCAUUUCAAGAGAUUACAAAGCAGAAUCGAGUAGCCAUUUCAAUCUCUAUUGUGCGUGUCUUUGUGUUGUAUGGUUUUUUCUUUGCUUGUGAAAUAUUGUAGUUGGUUAAUAUUUGGUGGCUUAGUUUGACUUUGAUGCAUUAAUAUUUUUUAAUAUCCACUAGUUAAAACUGUGCGUAUCAAGGUUACUCCAUUUAAUUGUUAAGCUUUACGUUUUUCUUGUAGCUUUUGUAAUGGGAUUGUAUACGUGUUUUGAAGCCUCGUAUCAUCUGCUUACUUUUAUUUGUGUUUUUUUUUUAUGUUUUUAGGGCCCUGUUUACCCUUGUAGAUAACUGAGUGUAUCACAACAAGAUUUGUUUAUUCUUUGUUUUUGGCUUGCAGCAAUUGAUCAAAGGGAUGAUGUUAGUAAUUGAUUUUUCUAGCCUGCAACCACGGUCAAAUCUGUUAAAAACAUAGGAAAGGAAAGAAGGUUAGUUCUAUGCAGUGGAAGGACAUUUAUAGUCCAUGAACUUUAAGAAGCUCGAUUGAUUGUAUCAUUGCCAUAUCACUAUUUUAUUUUUUACUCAAUUUUAAUCUUUAUCAUCCACACUCCAUUAAACCCUAAAGAGUCUAAUAACACUCCACAUCAUCAUCAUUAUAUUUUUACAUAAUUAUAAAUUUAAAAAUAAAAUAUAUAAUAGUUAAAAAAGAGUACAUUCUUUAAAAAUAUAUUAGUUAAAAAUCAUGAAACCUAAAACAUUUAAUACAUAAAAAUACAUUAAUUAAAAAACAUAAAACCUAA